rnacentral:pre_miRNA from 1 species
AAUAAGAUCAUUUUUCAGUUUCUAGAUACAAUGUUUUGACUUUUCGUCUUAUUUGAAUUUUUUUUGCGAUAAAUUUUUUUUAUCGUUACAAGAUGAGAAAGCAUGAAUAGUACUGUAUGCGUAACUAAUUUUUAAAGUUUUUUUACAAAUUUUUUAAAUAAGACGAAUGGUCAAUCUUUAGACGCAGAAAUC